AGCCAGGCCCGUGCAGUAGUGCAACGCAUAGGCGACUUGUGAAAGCCCAGAUAGCAAGCUAUCUUAAUGGGCUUUCUCCCUAAAAAAAUAGAGUUAAUAUCGUAUGGGCCGAUGACCCAUAUAUCAGAUAUUAAACUGAUAAGAACAGAUACUACACUUGAUCUUAGCCAAAAGGCCGAGAAAGGUAUGAAUUGUGAGGACCAUCGAGCGUCUAUUUUAUACACCAAGUCCAAUAGUGAGAUCUUCAUAGCUGAGCGAUGUGGGAUAAAUAAAACACAAACACCUUUUCUUUAGCCUUCAGACAAAGUAUAAAAUAUUUAGCCACCAUCCAGACCAGCUUUGUUUCAUGGUGAGCUAGAGAUCUCAGUGUAAAAAGCUUCUGCAGAAGCUUUUGUUAAACAUAAAGCCUUAAGAAAACAGAUGCCACAUCUUCAUGAAAUUAAAGAUCUAAGGGUACCACAAUUCUAAUGCAAGUCCUUGAAAAAGAAUCAGCAAUGUUUGUUUACUUUAUAAUCUCUUGAUUCUCUAAAAUUUAUUUGAAUUAUCAAAGAUCAAACUACAUAAUAAUGGAUAAUCUCGUUCAUCAGUGA